UGAAGAACCGCCUACUAUCA
rnacentral:siRNA from 1 species